AAAUGUGUCCUGCAGCAUUCCCUGAAAGUUAAUAAAGCUGGGUUACCUGGAUGGAGAAUGCACUUCUUGCAAUUCCCUCUGUCAUCCAGAGAAGACUCUAGCAUCAGUGCUUCUGCUAAUUGCAACUGCUCACUCAUGAGGAGAGAGGGUCCUGUCCCAAAGUCACUGGGCUAAGUCUCCAGCCAGGAUUCGUCUCUCAGGACUGUCUCUUUGGCUGUUACAAUGUUCUGGGCAGGAAUCGUACAGAUGAUGGAAGCCAGAACAUCUCCUUUGGCACACUAGAGGGCACUGGAGUAUUGAAGAAGGAAGGUGCUUUGUAACAGACAUUCCAGAAAAUAAUGAAUGUUUCCUGGUAAAUUAAAUCUUCGUGGUGAGGCCCUAGAAGACUUCACAGAAUGUCCUCCCUUUCUCUCCCAUUCCUGGUUACAAGAGACUGCUUGGGGAAGACAUCUACUUUUUUUUUUUUUCUUAAACCCACCAUUCUAUUAUGGUGGAAAUGCUUUGUAAAAGAGAUGGAACUUCCAGGUUAUUUUGAAGGUGGUCAGAUUCUGGCUUAGUCUGUUAGUCUCUGGAUGUUCCUCUGAAUGUCUUGUCCAGGAAUGUUUUCCCUCAUGGGCUUUGACAGCUGUAUUUAUUAGGGCUGAUAGAAAAUUUUUCAUCAAAACUAAGCAAACAUGUAAAAAUGUUCAUGUUAAGUAUCUGCUUUCCUAGGGAAACAAUUGCUUUCUUUUUGUUAAAAAGCAACAUUUUGUUGGGCUGGUUGGUUUUUUGUGGUAAGGAAAAUAUUGAACUCUUUGUUUUGGCUUUGAGCUGAAAAGUUUGGGGUUAUUUGGUUAAACCCUCCCCCCAGUAUUUUAUGACCUUGCUGGGUCAUGGUUGGAACCAUAGUCAUUGAUUUUGCUUGUUCCUGAUCCAUUGAUAGCUUAGAUGAAGAGGACCCAGGCCUUAAACUGGUAAUGGAAGUGGGCUGAGAGCCAAUGGAGGCAUUGGAGCAUAUAGAUGACAUGUCAUGGCUUGUCCCAUUGAGAGUGCAAAUAACUUCACGCUGCACCAGCUGGAGUCUCUGCAUUGCAUCCAGCUUCAGUCCUAGGUGCAGUGAAUUCCAAUAGUGUAGUGUGGCGGUGACAAAUGAGUAGAUAGCUGUGGACAAAUCUUCAUCCAGGAGAAAGGGGCAAAAUUUCAUUAUCUGCAGAUGAAACCAUCUUUGCCAUUAAUGCUACUUGAUCAUUAUGAGAUUAGUGAUGAGUUGCAUAGGACCCUGAGUCUUUGCACCAAUCUACAGAAUGUGGAGGCCUCCUACUUGUACUUUCACAAGCCUGGAAAGUGCAGGUCUCUUUUACAGGAGAUUAUUUCAAUCUUUUUAAGGGCUUCUUGAGCUGCAAUGGCUGUUAUGGGGCAAACCCCAUCAGGGUGAAGUGUUUCAUAAAGUGUGGGCUAAUUUUUAGAGUUUCUGCUUCUGCAAGUUUCUUUGUUCAGUACACCUUCGCUAUAAUGAAUCUGUUGGGAUCCAAACCUUUUCUUCUUUUAUUGCCAGGGGUUUGUUAUAGCAAAGGGCAAUCAAAAUGGACCAUAAACUGCUGGAGUAAGUUAAUGAGGUGACUUUGGAUAAAGGUGUUAGCUUUAUUAAUAAUUAUAAUAACUAAGGCUACAAGUUGGUCACAGAGGGUGAUUUUUAGGUGACCUCCACACUGUCAGCCCCCACAGCAGCAGGGUUCCAGCUUCAGUGGAUAAAAAUUGUGCACACAUGUGCAACAUCCUUUCCCACCCUCUUCCCCCCCCCUCCCCCCGCCAACUGUUAUUGGGAUCCAGGGUACUGGGAUCCAGGGUCUGGAUUCAUUGUAGGCAAAAGUUUGUAAUAAAGAAGUGUGUUCUAGCGAGAGUGUACUCUAUCUAGUUGAGCUUUCCUAAGUUCCAAUUUACAUUGACUGGGAAUCUGGACGUUCAUGUUUCUCUUUUCUCCGGGAACCCAGCACAGUCAAAUUGCAGUAAUGGAAGAGAAGAAGAAAAGAGAGCUGCACCUCUCCAAAAAUCCACAUCAAGUCCCUUAAAUAUACAUAUACUAUAGUAACGAAGGCUUUUACUCUCAUUUUGUAUUCAGUGUCAAAUGGUAACAUUGCUGCCCUAAUACUGUGCAAGCCACGGGAAUAAUUUUCCAAGCAAGAGAAUCAUUUUCCUAUUCAGUGCUUUUUCUUUUAAGAUUCUUGUUUUGUGUGUGCUAAUUUGGAGAAGUAAUCAGAUGCAAGUAGGCUACCCUUAUGUGAACUGGGUUUAAGUAGGGCGACUUCUGAAACUUGGCUUUCAACACAAUCUCAGAAAAAAGGAAGGAUCCUUAAAUUUCAUGCAAAGUAAUCCUGAUGUUUUGUAUUAUAUUAUACAUGGUAUACUGCUAAGUUUAACCACAAUUCUAAAGAAGAGUCAUGUUUUCAAGUGUUUUUUCAUAACCUGAUUUUACAUUAAUAAGCUUC